AGAAAACGGGCUCACUGCAGCUAACAGCCUCACCCCUUGGGCUAGGAAGCCACGGAAGCAAAACCUCCGCCCCGGCCUGAAAGCAACCGGGAGACCGCGGAACCACUGCCACCGACUCAGCCCUGCCCAGCAGGGGCCCGCCCAGGGGCCACUCCCCAAGGGAGGCAGCCAGUCACUCGCCCGCCCUUCCGGGCCCACUCCCGAGGGGACGGUCUCCCGCCCGCCCUCACACACAGCUAGCUCUUCAGGCCAGGCCCCCAGGGUUUCGUCCACCUCUCACCUUUGACGACGCGAAUGAAGAAUGAGGAGGUGCUGCGAUCGAACGACUGCGAGGAAACACACCCGCUCUCAUGGCAUUCCCAGUAAACUGAGAAGACGUGAUUAAACCUCAGGAUCUCCUACUAAUAGAGAAAUGUAUAACGAUUUAGCUACCAGAUCUGAAUACUGAAGGGUUGGUAGGGGACCAGAGAAUAGAGGAAGCAUUGUAGGUUCUAGAGUGGAGAAGGGACCAUCCAAAAUGGAGUUUGAAAGAGAAUUCUGGCCUUUGUGUUUAGAGUCUGGAAUUGUCAAGAGUCUGAAAGCACAGAAUAAGACUGCAGCUAGAGCAAUUUAGGCGCCAUAGUUUGUCAAAACAGGUAAGGGGAAUAAAGGGGAUGACACCAAGAGAUGUGCAAAGAAUCUGAAGAAUUCACCUGAAAAGGAUACAACCUCCUCCUGGAAGGCAGAGGAGUAAAUAGGGAAUUGGAAAUUAAUUCCUUAUUUCUGCACAUGCACAGAAUCUGGGCCCAGGUGACUUAUGGAACCUUUAUAGAGACCACGGUGACUGACACUCAUGGGAAAGGGGGUAGAGGGGCAAGAACUGACUGUUCAUCAAAAAUUAUUAGAUGAGUGUGUCCACGACACCAGGAGAUAUGUUGAAUCAUGGACAGGGACCAGCAUAUCCACUAAGCUCUAUAUAUCUUGAUGGUGCAGGAUCCAAGUGGGAUGGAACAACCAAUUCCUGCCCAUCCUCCUGCUCAAUAAUACAUGUGCUCAGAAUCUGUUCAUAAUGCAUGGUGAGACGGGAUCUCACUGUGUUGCCCAGGCUGGUCUCGAACUGCUGGACUCAAGUCAUCCUCCCAUCUUGGCCUCCCAAAGUGCUGGAAUUACAGUGGACAACCUUCAAUGCACUGGUACUUUGUACCCUGACCUCUACUGUGAUGAACACUCAACUUGGGCAAGGAAGUGAAAUUCUCCAAAGGUUGGAGUGCAGUGGUGCGAUCUCAGCUCACUGUAACCUCUGCCUCCCGAAUUCAAGUGAUUUCCCUGCCUCAGCCUCCCGAGUAGCUGGGACUACAGGAAUUAUUAAGAUAAGGACCAGCAGUACAAUGAGCUUUUCACUGUAUGUCUGACCUGAAAGAAGAAAAUCUUUUCAGAGGACUCCUCUCUCCCCUUCAGUCGCCAAGACAAUGAGAGCUCUUGCUACAGAAUACUCAUGGUCAUUUCUUCCCCUGGCAUUCAUAAACUAACAUGGUUCCCAAGCACUACCUUGUUGGCUGAGAGAGAGUCCCCGCCUGUGUUGGGAGGCAGGCUGAGGGCUGCGACGGCUGCUGUGGUGAUUGCUGCUGCUGCAUGCGAUCCUGCAGGCUCCGUGCUUUUCGAAUACUGAUUUGCAACUUCUUAUCGACUAGGGCUCUGCUGUGCGUGCUACAGCUGGCACCAUGCAGGGCAAGUCUUAGUUUAGCUAAAAUGCAAAAGAAAAUAUAGCAGAAACAGAACACAAAACACAAAUAAAAAUAAAAAGAAUAAAAUUGAAAAAAAA
rnacentral:lncRNA from 1 species